AAUCAACGCUGGCGGCGCGCUUAACACAUGCAAGUCGCACGAGAAAGGGAGCAAUCCUGAGUAAAGUGGCGUACGGGUGAGUAACACGUGGGAAUCUACCUCUUGGCGGGGAAUAACCCUGGGAAACCGGGGCUAAUACCGCAUAAGCUCGUGAGAGGAAAGCAGCAAUGCACCGAGAGAGGAGCCCGCGGCCGAUUAGCUAGUUGGUGGGGUAAUGGCUCACCAAGGCGAAGAUCGGUAGCCGGCCUGAGAGGGCACACGGCCACACUGGCACUGAAACACGGGCCAGACUCCUACGGGAGGAAGCAGUGGGGAAUCUUGCACAAUGGGGGAAACCCUGAUGCAGCGACGCCGCGUGAGCGAUGAAGCCCUUCGGGGUGUAAAGCUCUUUCGACAGGAACGAUAAUGACGGUACCUGGAGAAGAAGCUGCGGCUAACUACGUG
rnacentral:rRNA from 1 species